rnacentral:rRNA from 1 species
AUCCUCCGGGAGGCAGCCGUAGGGAAUCUUCCACAAUGGGCGAACGCCUGAUGGCGCCCCGCCUCUUUGGUGCCUCCUUUCUUCUUCUCUUCCCCCCCUGUUGUUAGCUCCUCAAGUGCGUGAGAGUACCUGUUCACGUUUCGACGGUAUCUACCCCGAACGCCACGGCUAACUACGUGCCAGCAUCCGCGGUAAUCCGUAGGUGUCCCUCUUUAUCCGGCUUUCUUGGGCGUAAAGGGAACGCAGGCGGUCUUUUAAGUCUGAUGUGAA